AGGAAGGCUGGAUGGACGCAGCGCCUGUCUAACCGGUCAGGUCCGAGAGGAAGCAGCCAGGGCUGGCUUUUUGCGGGUCGUUCAGUCUUCCGCUU
rnacentral:SRP_RNA from 3 species